ensembl:lncRNA
UUCUCACCCUGUUUUUCUCCCCAGAGCUUUUGUCAUUACGUGGCAUGAUGCCACCUAGCAGAUGACUUACUGAUGGUCUGUCUCCCCUAAUAAAACGCCAGCUCCGUGAAGGCGGGGACUUCUGCCUGUCUUGUUUGCUGGUGGGUCCUCGUGCCUGGAACAGAGCCUGGCGUGGUAGAUGCUCCGUAAAGCGCAGUGGAUGUGGGGCUGAUGGAAGCUUGGUUGUGGACGAGAGGAACGAUGAGCUUUCAACUUUCGGCACCGUCUAGAAGUCGUUUUUGAUUAGAAGUUGACCUCAGAAGUAUGCGCGCAUCAUUUUGAAAACAUCUGCCGGCACCACAGAAACCGACUCCGAAUGAGAAAGGACAGCGUGGACCACGUCCAGGACCAGCGCCUUCCCACACGGCGCUCGGGGGUAUCGCUGGCCUGGACCAAGGCUGGGAUGUUGUCCCCGGCAUGCGCCCGGAUCCCCGUAGUGACCUGGGGCCAGCUGGGGGUGAUGAGAGUGUCCCCAUCGUCAUCGCCCAGGACACUGGCUAAUGUUAUCGAGUCCUUAUUAUGGUCCAUGCGGAUCACAGGGAGUCAUCCAUCCUCGGCGCUUCCCGUCGGGCGGGAGUCUACAGGCUGAGUGGCAUUGUCAGACGCGGAGGCUGAAGUCCUGAGUCGAGGCGUCAGCGGGGCCAGGCUCCCUCCAAAGGCUCUAUCGAGGGAGGAAUCUUUCAUCACCUUUUUUUUUUCUAGCUUCUGGUGGCUUCAGAUGUCCCUUGGCUUGUCACAGCAGAACCCCAGUCUCUGC